AGGACAAUCCUUGCCAAUUUAAUUAAGAAACGUGUUCUGGUCACAUUGUGAUUACGGUUAUGGAUUUUUAAAGCUGUAUCACCUUCGAGUUUUGCAGAGGCAUCACAGAGGAAAAGGAUUUGUGCUUUCUACAAGAAAUGAUCUUUCAAGGAUUGGGUUAUUCUACAUAAUCUGGCCAUAUUUCAGGGAUCUGGGCACCUGAAUGACAGGAUUUCUCUGAAUACAAAGAAGUCAGGAUUGACAUCUCUGAAUACAAAAGUAUCUAUGUGUAUGUUACCAGAAUUGUUUCACAAGCAAUGGAGUGUAUUUUGAGCACUCUUCAAGGGAACAACCCUGUAAAUCCUGUGGAACAUGUAAAUUUGAAAGUUCUCUAUGGGUUAGUAAGGGCUCUGUUACCAAAGGGGCUUUUAAACAGGGUUUUAAAUCAGUGUUGCUGCUUUUGUUAUUGGAAACUUACAGAGCUUUGAGCAAGAGUUGGAAAGUUGUCAUUAACAUCGAUAACUUUCACGUUACAGCUACAAAGGGAUGAUAUUCCAUCUGCAGCCCCAUCCCGGUCUGAUGCUUUCACAACCAGAGUGUAACUACUAUGUUGCUGUCACAAAAAGAGAACAUCUCUUUCAGGUCUAGGAUCUGCUUUUGCUCUCUUCAGACAAUAAAGGGUGAAGAAUGUGGGAUUUGUAGGACGGGAUGCUUGUUUCAUUCAUCAUUGGAAGAAACAAAAUAACCAGGCACAAAAGAGUGAGUUUCAUGCACAUUGUUCACAGAAGUGAAGCACUCAGAGCAGAAUGGAGCUGUCACUAAAGAGGUAUCAUAUUUAUUUUGGGGAAAAAAGUGCUUUAUUCAUGAGGCUGCAAGAAUAUCUGAAGCAGAGGAAGAAGAUUUUCUGCCUUUACCAGCUGCAAAGUCUCCUCAUGCCAUGCCUUUCCCUUCCAAUGGGCUGUGCUCUCGCUGACACAGUAGAGGGAGAGUGUUAAGAGAAAAUGGAGAUCUGCUCAAAACAUCAGGUAGUGGAGGAGAGAGAGGAUGUGCUGCACAGAUCUCUUCUGGCCUCGUUUCUGACGGCAAGAUCACAGUUGUGUGGGGGACAAAGAAAUCAAAGAGGAUUCACCCCUUUGCCAUCUGUUCUGCAGCACGGGUGUUGUUCAGUGCCUCUUGUGUCUUUGGGACACCUGAACCACCCCUUACUGGGCAAGGAAAAGUUAGAGUGGCUUUCUGCUCUGUGACUGAAGCUGGGAGAGGGGUGCACACUUCAUGCCCCCAAAGUGCAAUACCACUGGUGUGCUGCUGAGCCUGCUGAGCCCUCCAUGGUGCUUGGCGUCUCCCAGGGCUGGACCUGAGCUGGGAAAAGAGUGCUCAGCACCUCUGGGGCUGCUCAGCCCCUGCCAGGGUGAGGUCCCUUGCUCCUGCUGGGUAAGCAGCUUUGCAGCACGCCGCGUCUCCAUGCCACUUAGCAUGGGUGCUUUGCUCUCUGCCACUGGCUGGGACUGCCAAAGCCAGUCGUGCACGUCCCCAUUUGUCACUCAGAUCUUGGUACCAAGCUCAACAUGCCCAUCAGUGAGUCAGAUAGGGACAGACAACGUUAAAUGGAUUAUAUCUGCAUUUUCCCUUUUCUGGGAAAUUCUCAACAAUCUGAAAUUUGCUUUUGGGUUAAGUAAAAAGUUAAUUUUUGUGCAUAUAAAAUAUGCAUAUUCUUUUAUAAACCCAAGUAUCUUAUUUCAGAACUUUGGCUU